AGCCGCGGUAAUACGGAGGGUGCGAGCGUUAAUCGGAAUUACUGGGCGUAAAGGGCGAGUAGGCGGUAAAUUAAGUUAGAUGUGAAAUACCUAAUCUUAAAUUAGGAACUGCAUUUAAAACUAGUUUUCUAGAGUUUUGUAGGGGGGAGUAGAAUUCCAUGUGUAGCGGUGAAAUGCGUAGAGAUAUGGAAGAAUACCAGUGGCGAAGGCGACUCCCUGGACAAAAACUGACGCUGCUGCGCGAAAGCAUGGGUAGCAAACAGGAUUAGAUACCCUGGUAGUCCAUGCUGUAAACUAUGUCGAUUUGGAGGUUGUAAUGCAAGUAAAAUUAUGGCUUCCGUAGCUAACGCGUUAAAUCGACCGCCUGGGGAGUACGGUCGCAAGAUUAAAACUCAAAUGAAUUGACGGGGGCCCGCACAAGCGGUGGAGCAUGUGGUUUAAUUCGAUGCAACGCGAAAAACCUUACCUACUCUUGACAUCCAAAGUAGUAAACAGAGAUGUUUAUUUGCCUUGGGGAACUUUGAGACAGGUGCUGCAUGGCUGUCGUCAGCUCGUGUUGUGAAAUGUUGGGUUAAGUCCCGCAACGAGCGCAACCCUUAUCCUUUGUUGCCAUCGAUUAAGUCGGGAACUCAAAGGAGACUGCCGGUGAUAAAUCGGAGGAAGGAGAGGACGACGUCAAGUCAUCAUGGCCCUUACGAGUAGGGCUACACACGUGCUACAAUGGUAUAUACAGAGAGAAGCAAUCCUAUAAAGGGAAGCGGAACUCAGAAAGUAUAUCGUAGUCCAGAUUGGAGUCUGCAACUCGACUCCAUGAAGUCGGAAUCGCUAGUAAUCGCGAAUCAGCAUGUCGCGGUGAAUACGUUCUCGGGCCUUGUACACACCGCCCGUCACACCAUGGAAGUGAGUUGUAAAAGAAGCAAGUAGCUGAACCAAAUGGACAGCACUUACCACUUUAUGAUUCAUAACUGGGGUGAAGUCGUAACAAGGUAACCGUAGGGGAACCUGUG
rnacentral:rRNA from 1 species